rnacentral:rRNA from 1 species
GAUGAACGCUGGCGGCGUGCCUAAUACAUGCAAGUCGAGCGAACGGACGAUAAGCUUGCUUCUCUGAUGUUAGCGGCGGACGGGUGAGUAACACGUGGAUAACCUACCUAUAAGACUGGGAUAACUUCGGGAAACCGGAGCUAAUACCGGAUAAUAUUUUGAACCGCAUGGUUCAAAAGUGAAAGACGGUCUUGCUGUCACUUAUAGAUGGAUCCGCGCUGCAUCAGCUAGUUGGUAAGGUAACGGCUUACCAAGGCAACGAUGCAUAGCCGACCUGAGAGGGUGAUCGGCCACACUGGAACUGAGACACGGUCCAGACUCCUACGGGAGGCAGCAGUAGGGAAUCUUCCGCAAUGGGCGAAAGCCUGACGGAGCAACGCCGCGUGAGUGAUGAAGGUCUUCGGAUCGUAAAACUCUGUUAUUAGGGAAGAACAUAUGUGUAAGUAACUGUGCACAUCUUGACGGUACCUAAUCAGAAAGCCACGGCUAACUACGUG